GUCCUCGCUUUGGCAGCACAUAUACUAAAAUUGGGACAAUACAGAGAAGAUUAGCAUGGCCCCUGCGCAACGAUGAUAGGCAAAUCCAUGAAGUGUUCCAUAUCUAC
rnacentral:snRNA from 1 species